rnacentral:sRNA from 1 species
CGGCCCUCUCCGCCGCCUCGCAAGCGGGCACUGGCUUCAGGAGAGGAUGUUCCAUGGCCGUAAGCGCAGGUACUCCCUGGUACUUGCUGUCAUGCCAUUAUCGCCAGUGGUGCUGACGUGAUGCGGUCUUUGCAUGGACCGCACAAUGAAACGAUACCUGUGUAUCGUGCUUAUUGUUUCCGGCACGCUGUUUGCGCACCUUAGCGAAGACGGAAAUCUUUCCGGCGACGCGAAUCGUGUGGCUCUCAACGUAACGGGCAGGUAAGCGUGGAUGCCGCCCCUCGGGGCGGCUUUCC